rnacentral:rRNA from 1 species
UGGAUCCAGACUUUGAUCCUGGCUCAGGAUGAACGCUAGCUACAGGCUUAACACAUGCAAGUCGAGGGGCAGCAUGGUCUUAGCUUGCUAAGACUGAUGGCGACCGGCGCACGGGUGAGUAACACGUAUCCAACCUGCCGUCUACUCUUGGACAGCCUUCUGAAAGGAAGAUUAAUACAAGAUGGCAUCAUGAGUCCGCAUGUUCACAUGAUUAAAGGUAUUCCGGUAGACGAUGGGGAUGCGUUCCAUUAGAUAGUAGGCGGGGUAACGGCCCACCUAGUCUUCGAUGGAUAGGGGUUCUGAGAGGAAGGUCCCCCACAUUGGAACUGAGACACGGUCCAAACUCCUACGGGAGGCAGCAGUGAGGAAUAUUGGUCAAUGGGCGAGAGCCUGAACCAGCCAAGUAGCGUGAAGGAUGACUGCCCUAUGGGUUGUAAACUUCUUUUAUAAAGGAAUAAAGUCGGGUAUGCAUACCCGUUUGCAUGUACUUUAUGAAUAAGGAUCGGCUAACUCCGUGCCAGCAGCCGCGGUAAUACGGAGGAUCCGAGCGUUAUCCGGAUUUAUUGGGUUUAAAGGGAGCGUAGAUGGAUGUUUAAGUCAGUUGUGAAAGUUUGCGGCUCAACCGUAAAAUUGCAGUUGAUACUGGAUAUCUUGAGUGCAGUUGAGGCAGGCGGAAUUCGUGGUGUAGCGGUGAAAUGCUUAGAUAUCACGAAGAACUCCGAUUGCGAAGGCAGCCUGCUAAGCUGCAACUGACAUUGAGGCUCGAAAGUGUGGGUAUCAAACAGGAUUAGAUACCCUGGUAGUCCACACGGUAAACGAUGAAUACUCGCUGUUUGCGAUAUACGGCAAGCGGCCAAGCGAAAGCGUUAAGUAUUCCACCUGGGGAGUACGCCGGCAACGGUGCAACUCAAAUGAAUUGACGGA